UACGAAGAGGGCUAGCGUUGUUCGGAAUAACUGGGCGUAAAGCGCACGUAGGCGGAUUUGUAAGUCAGGGGUGAAAUCCUGGGGCUCAACCUCGGAACUGCCUUUGAUACUGCAAGUCUGGAGUCCGGAAGAGGUGAGUGGAAUUCCUAGUGUAGAGGUGAAAUUCGUAGAUAUUAGGAAGAACACCAGUGGCGAAGGCGGCUCACGGGUCCGGUAGUGACGCUGAGGUGCGAAAGCGUGGGGAGCAAACAGG
rnacentral:rRNA from 1 species